UACGGAGGCCCCAAGCGUUGUUCGGAUUUAUUGGGCGUAAAGGGUGCGUAGGCGGCAUCUUAAGUCUGGUGUGAAAGGCGCGGGCUCAACCUGCGGACUGCAUUGGAUACUGGGAUGCUAGAGGACUGGAGAGGAGAAUGGAAUUCACGGUGGAGCAGUGAAAUGCGUAGAUAUCGUGAGGAAGGCCAGUGGCGAAGGCGAUUCUCUGGACAGUACCUUGACGCUGAGGCACGAAGGCUGGGGGAGCGAACAGG
rnacentral:rRNA from 1 species